UAAAUCCGCUAGGGGGUGCUACAAAAGUAGCUGAGAUAAGACGGUUGUUCUUAAUCCCUUUGAACCUGAACUGGUUAAAACCAGCGUAGGAAAGUGGAGCCGGAUGGUG
rnacentral:ncRNA from 2 species